rnacentral:rRNA from 1 species
GACGAACGCUGGCGGCGUGCCUAAUACAUGCAAGUAGAACGCUGAAGGAGGAGCUUGCUUCUCUGGAUGAGUUGCGAACGGGUGAGUAACGCGUAGGUAACCUGCCUGGUAGCGGGGGAUAACUAUUGGAAACGAUAGCUAAUACCGCAUAAUAGUGGAUGUUGCAUGACAUUUGCUUAAAAGGUGCAAUUGCAUCACUACCAGAUGGACCUGCGUUGUAUUAGCUAGUUGGUGAGGUAACGGCUCACCAAGGCAACGAUACAUAGCCGACCUGAGAGGGUGAUCGGCCACACUGGGACUGAGACAAGGCACAGACUCAUACGGGAGGCAGCAGUAGGGAAUCUUCGGCAAUGGACGGAAGUCUGACCGAGCAACGCCGCGUGAGUGAAGAAGGUUUUCGGAUCGUAAAGCUCUGUUGUAAGAGAAGAACGAGUGUGAGAGUGGAAAGUUCACACUGUGACGGUAUCUUACCAGAAAGGGACGGCUAACUACGUG